GUGUGUAUGCGUGCGUGUGUGUGUGUGUGUGUAUGAGGGGGUGAGGUGCAAAUGUAUUCCGCUUUUUUUCUGCAAAGGUUGAAACCUGCCCAAGGCUCGCUCACAAAAAUCAACAGCUGUAGGAAUUCAUCAUCGUGUUUGUCUCACGCUGCAUGAUCCAUGAGAACAAUGCAGUGGCAGAAGGCUCCUCUGUGAUCAACAGGAGGUUUGACGUCACGGUGAGGUUGCUAGACAACCACUGAAGAUACCAGGAGGAGGCGUGCUUUUGAACUUUGGAGACAGCCGGGCUAAAGCUGCUUCUGGUCUUUAAGCUGCCAGUGUGCUUCUUCAGAAGCGCUAGUUGGACGACGGUGGAUUGCUGGCUUUCCGAAACCAGCAAUCUGACACUCACACCCACUUCAUGCCACGGCCGUCCAGCUGUGCCGAGCACGCUGAGACGGGUCCGCUGGCUGAAGGCGACGCUGUUGAGAAACACAUCACAGGCGUAGAGACCGCCAUCCUUCCACCCAGGUUCUCACCAUCAACUGUCACGUCCACGUUGAAGGGGAAGGGAGCCCUACUGCUGUCACCCUGCGGGUGCACCAAACAGACGUAAGCCCCGCCGUCACUGAUCUGGAGCAGUGGAAGUUUGGCCACUGUGCCUGUGUUUGGCUUUC